UGUCGUCAGCUCGUGUUGUGAAAUGUUGGGUUAAGUCCCGCAACGAGCGCAACCCUUAUCCUUUGUUGCCAGCGGUCCGGCCGGGAACUCAAAGGAGACUGCCAGUGAUAAACUGGAGGAAGGUGGGGAUGACGUCAAGUCAUCAUGGCCCUUACGACCAGGGCUACACACGUGCUACAAUGGCGCAUACAAAGAGAAGCGACCUCGCGAGAGCAAGCGGACCUCAUAAAGUGCGUCGUAGUCCGGAUUGGAGUCUGCAACUCGACUCCAUGAAGUCGGAAUCGCUAGUAAUCGUGGAUCAGAAUGCCACGGUGAAUACGUUCCCGGGCCUUGUACACACCGCCCGUCACACCAUGGGAGUGGGUUGCAAAAGAAGUAGGUAGCUUAACCUUCAGGAGGGCGCUUACCACUUUGUGAUUCAUGACUGGGGUGAAGUCGUAACAAGGUAACCGUAGGGGAACCUGCGGUUGGAUCACCUCCUUACCUUAAAGAAGC
rnacentral:rRNA from 1 species